rnacentral:rRNA from 1 species
UACACGCUGUGACUAGCAUAUCAAUAAGCGGAGGAAAAGAAACUAACAAGGAUUCCCCUAGUAACGGCGAGUGAAGCGGGAAGAGCUCAAAUUUGAAAUCUUAAAGGGUUUCCCUUUACGAAUUGUAGUUUAAAGAAGUGUUUUCUGUUGAGGUUUUGGUAAAAGUUCUUUGGAAUAGGACAUCAUAGAGGGUGAGAAUCCCGUAUUUGACCUUUACUUUCAACUUUGUGAUACACUUUCAAAGAGUCGGAUUGUUUGGGAAUGCAGUCCAAAAUGGGUGGUAAAUUUCAUCUAAAGCUAAAUAUUGGCGAGAGACCGAUAGCGAACAAGUACCGUGAGGGAAAGAUGAAAAGAACUUUGAAAAGAGAGUUAAACAGUACGUGAAAUUGUCAAAAGGGAAGCGUUUGACACCAGUGUUGUUUUUCUGAAAAUCAAUUAAAGAACUGUUUAUGCUAAGUUGUUUAGACUUUAUCAGCUAACUGUUUAGUUUUGAGCUUUUCUUUAAUGCACUUUUCAGUUAACAAGUCAACAUCAAUUUCUUUUGCUGUAAAAAAGCUUGAGGAAGGUGGCUUGAGAUUCGUCUUAAGUGUUUAUAGCCUCUUGCCUAUGCAGUCGGAGAGAUUGAGGUCUGCAGCGUAGAUCCUUCGGGGCUAAAUGCAUUUGUGCUAAGUUAUAGCAUUUCAUAGACAACUUGUUGACUAUGAUUUGUCUUGUAGCUUACUCGCUUAUGUUAUUUUACCUACGCUUAGAAUGUUGACAGCAGUAUAGACUGU